rnacentral:rRNA from 1 species
AUUGAACGCUGGCGGCGUGCCUAACACAUGCAAGUCGAGCGGUAACAGGUGUAGCAAUACAUGCUGACGAGCGGCGAACGGGUGAGUAAUGCUUUGGAAUCUUCCCAGUAGUGGGGAAUAACCAGUCGAAAGAUUGGCUAAUACCGCAUACGUCUGUAAAGGGAAAGCGGGGGACUCGCCUCUUCUUCGGAAGAGAGGCCUCGCGCUAUUGGAUGAGCCAAAGCGGAUUAGCUAGUUGGUGGGGUAAUGGCCUACCAAGGCGACAAUCCGUAGCUGGUCUGAGAGGACGACCAGCCACACCGGAACUGAGAC